AUUGAACGCUGGCGGCAGGACUAACACAUGCAAGUCGAGAUGAGCGGCGGAAGGGUGAGGAAUGCCUAGUAAUCUGCCUGGUAGUGGGGGAUAACGUCCGGAAACGGGAGCUCAUACAGCAUACUAUCAGCGGAGUCUAGGUCGGAUUAGCUAGUUGGUGGGGUAAAGGCCUACCAAGGCGACGCUCCGUAAGUGGUCUGAGCGGAGGAUCAGUCAAACUGGAACUGAGACACGGUACCGACUCCUACGGGAGGCAGCAGUGGGGAAUAUUGGACAAUGGGCGAAAGCGUGAUCCAGCCAUGCCGCGUGUGUGAAGAAGGUCUUCGGAUGGGAAAGCACUUUAAGUUGGGAGGCGUUACCAACAGAAGAAGCACCGGCGAACUUCGUGCCAGCAGCCGCGGUAAUAC
rnacentral:rRNA from 1 species